AACGAACGCUGGCGGCAUGCCUAACACAUGCAAGUCGAACGAGACCUUCGGGUCUAGUGGCGCACGGGUGCGUAACGCGUGGGAACCUGCCCUUAGGUUCGGAAUAACUCCCCGAAAGGGGUGCUAAUACCGGAUAAUGUCUUCGGACCAAAGAUUUAUCGCCUUUGGAUGGGCCCGCGUUGGAUUAGCUAGUUGGUAGGGUAAAAGCCUACCAAGGCGACGAUCCAUAGCUGGUCUGAGAGGAUGAUCAGCCACACUGGGACUGAGACACGGCCCAGACUCCUACGGGAGGUAGCAGUUGGGAAUAUUGGACAAUGGGCGAAAGCCUGAUCCAGCAAUGCCGCGUGAGUGAUGAAGGCCUUAGGGUUGUAAAGCUCUUUUACCCGGGAUGAUAAUGACAGUACCGGGAGAAUAAGCUCCGGCUAACUCCGUG
rnacentral:rRNA from 1 species